UUGCGAAAUAAUAUUUUAUUUUGAAAAUACACCAACACAAAUUACAACAAAUAAUGGUUCAUUAUAAAGAGAAAAGUCAAUCUUUCAGCUAUAAACUCCACUAUCAGUUACACCAAAUUAAUCAAGUUGGUUUUCUAAAUUCACAUCCAAAUGUCAUUUGCUUUUAUAAACUCCUCUAUCAGUUAGAAAAUAAUAAUAUUCUUUCCCGAUUGUAAAUAUAUAAUAUCAAACAAAAUUGAACACAAAGAAGAUCAAAACUAAACACAUGUAGGAGGGACAAAGCUUAAUAAGGUUAGAGAAAAAGGAAAAUUAUCUAGAAGGAGUUGGGCAUCCUCUCUUGUACGUAGAGCAUUUUUCCUGCACUUUCUGAUCUUUGUUUACAGGUGGGAUGCAACUCCUAUAGGGUUUUCCCCUUCCGCAGUUCGCAGCAGGAUUUUGAGGGUCCCUGGUACUUUCAGUUACAUAUUGGUUUUCACUAGCAAGCAUUCUUCCGAUUUCAGAGUCCAUCAAGAAUUCCAACUCCAUGUUCGCAGCGAUGGUGGCAAAGCGGCCACUGCCAUUAAACUCCGUCAGUGAAGCACCGAUUGCUCUAAUUCGGCUCACGUCCAGAAGAAUCAUUAGCGUAAUCACAGCUCCGAGAGUUAGACCCCUUCCCACUAUAACUUCCAUACAUAAUUUUCUCUUUCCUUCUCUCUUCAGCCAACUCUUU
rnacentral:lncRNA from 1 species